GCAGCUGAGGUCAGCAGAGCUGUCGGCCAGGCCGCGGUGAGGGUUGUCCUCCAAGGAGCCAUCCAGCUUAUCUUCCGCCGUCCAGAUGGGCCGCGUCUGCUGCUCUCGAAUGAUAGCCUUGAACUCCUGGUACCAGGUGUCACUCGUGCCAUUCAGAGGGAUGGUGGCUGUGAAGAGGUGGCUGCUCUGCUUCCGCAGCUUCUGGGCUUGUGCGUAGAGGCGGCGGGUACUGCGGCAGGAGGCAGGCGCCAGCCAACUUAGCUCCUUCUAAAUUGUCCUCAUACAUCCAGUGAUUUUCAGAUGGAGUUUCGCUCUUGUUGCCCAGGCUGGAGUACAAUGGGGAGAUCUCAGCUCACUGUGGCCUCCGCCUCCCAGUUUCAAGCUAUUCUCCUGCCUCAGCCUCCGAGUAGCUGGAAUUACAGAUCAUUUUCAUUCAAAGACUGAUUGAGAAAAUCUCAGAAGAUUAAAGAGAAUAAAGGAUCUGACUUGAAA
rnacentral:lncRNA from 1 species